CUUCUUCCUGCGGUCAUAUGAGUUUUCAAAGUGGAUGCUUCUGUAGAAGUGUGUGCUGCUAUCCAAACUCUCAUUGGAUUGAUUUUUCGUGUACAGGUUACAGGUCACUUGUUGAAUCUUGUGCACCACCUGAAGCUUGUCCUGGAUGGGUGCGCAAGAAUCGACUGUGAGGGACAAUCUACGUUACACCAACUUUCCAACCGUGCCACAAACUCACUGAAUUUUCUGUGAGUUAUUGAGUGUCAACCAGUUUUUGAGUGUCUCCUAAUAGGGGUGACCUUUUUGUCCUUUCCUUAAUUGUGAUUA